rnacentral:rRNA from 1 species
GAUUGAACGCUGGCGGCAGGCCUAACACAUGCAAGUCGAGCGGAUGAAGGGAGCUUGCUCCUGGAUUCAGCGGCGGACGGGUGAGUAAUGCCUAGGAAUCUGCCUGGUAGUGGGGGAUAACGUCCGGAAACGGGCGCUAAUACCGCAUACGUCCUGAGGGGGAAAGUGGGGGAUCUUCGGACCUCACGCUAUCAGAUGAGCCUAGGUCGGAUUAGCUAGUUGGUGGGGUAAAGGCCUACCAAGGCGACGAUCCGUAACUGGUCUGAGAGGAUGAUCAGUCACACUGGAACUGAGACACGGUCCAGACUCCUACGGGAGGCAGCAGUGGGGAAUAUUGGACAAUGGGCGAAAGCCUGAUCCAGCCAUGCCGCGUGUGUGAAGAAGGUCUUCGGAUUGUAAAGCACUUUUAGUUGGGAGGAAGAGCAGUAAAUUAAUACCUUGCUGUUUUGACGUUACCAACAGAAUAAGCACCGGCUAACUUCGUG